CGGCAGGACGCCGAGAUGUCCACCAUGGCCUGGUCCCCUCUGCUCCUCACCCUGGUCGCUCUCUGCACAGGAACCUGGGCCCAGGCUGUGCUGACUCAGCCGUCCUCUGUGUCCAAGUCCCUGGGCCAGAGCGUCUCCAUCACCUGCUCUGGAAGCAGCAGCAACGUUGGAUAUGGUAAUUAUGUGGGCUGGUUCCAACAGGUCCCAGGAUCAGCCCCCAAACUCCUCAUCUAUGGUACAACCAGUCGAGCCUCGGGGGUCCCCGACCGAUUCUCCGGCUCCAGGUCUGGCAACACAGCGACUCUGACCAUCAGCUCACUCCAGGCUGAGGACGAGGCCGAUUAUUACUGUGCAUCUUAUGACAGUAGUAGCAGUGGGGUGGAUGCUCAGACCAUGGUCCAGGAGCCAGCACUGUCAGUGUCUCCAGGAGGGACGGUCACCCUCACCUGGGGCCUUAGCUCUGGGUCAGUCACCACCAGAUCCUGGGCCCAGGCUGUGCUGACUCAGCCGCCCUCUGUUUCCCGAACUUUGGGUCAGAGGACGACCAUCUCUUGCACUGGAAGCAGCAACAAAAUCAGGGGUUAUUAUGUGAGCUGGUACCAACAGCUCCCAGGAUCGGCCCCCAGACUCCUGACCUAUGAAAACGGCUAA